rnacentral:rRNA from 2 species
AGACCCGAAACCCGGUGAUCUAGCCAUGGGCAGGUUGAAGGUUGGGUAACACUAACUGGAGGACCGAACCGACUAAUGUUGAAAAAUUAGCGGAUGACCUGUGGCUGGGGGUGAAAGGCCAAUCAAACCGGGAGAUAGCUGGUUCUCCCCGAAAGCUAUUUAGGUAGCGCCUCGUGAAUUCAUCUCCGGGGGUAGAGCACUGUUUCGGCUAGGGGGCCAUCCCGGCUUACCAACCCGAUGCAAACUGCGAAUACCGGAGAAUGUUAUCACGGGAGACACACGGCGGGUGCUAACGUCCGUCGUGAAGAGGGAAACAACCCAGACCGCCAGCUAAGGUCCCAAAGUCAUGGUUAAGUGGGAAACGAUGUGGGAAGGCCCAGACAGCCAGGAUGUUGGCUUAGAAGCAGCCAUCAUUUAAAGAAAGCGUAAUAGCUCACUGGUCGAGUCGGCCUGCGCGGAAGAUGUAACGGGGCUAAACCAUGCACCGAAGCUGCGGCAGCGAACGUAUCACUUAAAGCGAUUCAGCGGGUUACGAUUGACGGAGCGAAGCGACGUCAAAGCGUAUACAAAGUCGAGUCGGUUUAAGGAUACGUUCGUUGGGUAGGGGAGCGUUCUGUAAGCCUGCGAAGGUGGCCUGUGAGGGUUGCUGGAGGUAUCAGAAGUGCGAAUGCUGACAUAA